rnacentral:ncRNA from 1 species
UGCUCUCCUUGGCCGACAGGUCCGGGAAACCCGUUGAACCCCGGUCGUGCUAGGGAUAGGGAAUUGCAAUUAUUUCCCUUGAACGAGGAAUUCCCAGUAAGCGCGAGUCAUUAGCUCGCGUUGAUUACGUCCCUGCCCUUUGUACACACCGCCCGUCGCUACUACCGAUUGAAUGGUUUAGUGAGGUCCUCCGAUUGGACCCGGUCCGGGCGGCGACGUCCGAGCCGGCGUCCGAGAAGACGAUCUAACUUGAUCAUUUAGAGGAAGUAAAAGUCGUAACAAGGUUUCCGUAGGUGAACCUGCGGAAGGAUCAUUA